rnacentral:lncRNA from 1 species
GUCCGGGUGGAAAGCUAAGAUCCCAUCUCCUUGCUUAGACACACACCACUCUUGCCUUGUUCAGGCUAGACCAACUCACAGUCACCAUUACCUUGCUCAGGUUAGACCAAUCCAAAGUCUCCUGCAACCCCUGAGCUGGGCCUGCUCUCCUGGCUUUGAGUCUGGGACUCCAGUGAGAGGAGGAGGGUGGAAGUCAGAAGAGAACGUCACCAGUCAGGCUUGCUCCUUUACCUUCAUGUAGCUUCUGCAGACGGAGCUCAAGGACAAUCACCCUGCUCUGCUGAAGCCACCUCAUUGGCCCCAGAAACAGAGGUAACAACAACCAAGCUGGGGGCAUAUAAAAGGUCCCCCAAAAGCUCACCCACAUGCUCUCUGACAGACCCCUCCA